UACGAGGGGGGCAAGCGUUGUCCGGAAUCACUGGGCGUAAAGGGCGCGUAGGCGGCUCAUGAAGGCUGUGGUGAAAGUCCGGGGCUCAACCUCGGAUCGGCCGUGGCGACUCGUGGGCUGGAGCACUGUAGAGGCGGGUGGAAUUCCGGGUGUAGCGGUGGAAUGCGUAGAGAUCCGGAAGAACACCAGUGGCGAAGGCGGCCCGCUGGGCAGUGGCUGACGCUGAGGCGCGACAGCGUGGGGAGCAAACAGG
rnacentral:rRNA from 1 species